rnacentral:RNase_P_RNA from 2 species
AGGAGGAGGUGGGCAGCUGACGGUACCGGUAUCCCGCAAGGGACCCGGCGCUGAGGAAAGUCCGCACUCCGGGGACCAGGGGGGUGGGCGCAAGCCCGCCGGGCGAGAGCCCGAGCUACGGAGCAGAAACGGCACAGCCGCGGGGUACGAGGAAUCGGGACAGCCGAGGAGAUUCCCCGCGGAAGUGGUGAAACGGCCGUCUCCCCCGGAGCAAGCCCGAAAGCGUGGCAUGAGCUCGGUCCCGCAACCACCGAGAUGGGCGCGCAGUCGAAUGCUGUCGGAACAGAAUGCGGCUUACGACCUCGACCU